ensembl:snRNA U4 U4 spliceosomal RNA
AUCCAUGCGCAGUGGCAGUAUCGUAGCCCAUGAGGUUUAACCGAGGCACGAUUAUUGCUAAUUGAAAACUUUACCCAAUACCCCGCCUUGAUGACUUGAGAUAUAGUCGGCAAAGGCAAUUUUUGACGGUCUCUAUGGGGA